AUGGCGUCCGCCUCCUCCCAGCCGAGGGCUGACCCCAUGGCGGUGUGCCUCCUCCCGCAUGGCCGGCGCCACUCCCCGUCGGCGGCGCGCCUCCUCCCGCGCGGCCGGCUCCCCUCAUCGAUGGCGACGCGCCUCCUCCUGCACGGCCGGCGCCCCUCCCCGACGGCGGCGCACCUCCUCCCGCACGGCCGACGCCUCUCCUCCCGCGCGGCCGGCGCCACUCAUCGAGGGCGGCGCGCCUCCUCCCGCGCGGCCGGCGCCCCUCCCCGACGGUGGCGCACCUCCUCCCACACGGCUGACGACCGUCCUCUCGCGCGGACGGCGUCCCUCCUCCAUGUAGAUCCCCGUGUGUUGCCGCCGACCGGGGAUCCACCCAAGAAAUCGACGACGGCAGCAACAGCGCGCCGGAUCCCCACUUCACGCCGCCACCGGAGCCCCACUUCGUUGUGCCGCCAAGCGCCUGCAUCCCCGAGCGCCACCAACCUACGACGGGGCUCCCACCUUCCGCCUCCUCCUGGCUAUCCCAUUCUGCUCGCGCCUUCGGCCCCCUCUCGGUGGUGCUCCGUCGUCGCAGCACGGACAACGCUCUUCGCCACCACACUCUGGCCGUUCAACUACAUGGCCCCCGGGAGUUCGCAGCCGCAACGCCCCCUGAAUCCCGCUGCUGCUAUGCAUCUCACCCUGCUACCACAUCCUCGCCCCCAUGUACUGAAUCUGAAACGUCUAUGCUUUUUAUCUGAAUGCGAACAGGAGGAGCUGGAGUACGCGGAGCAGGGUGGCAGCGUAGGUUGGGGCAGGUUUGUGGCGACGCGCACCUCCCACCUCUGCAUGCCUACUUCCUCACCUGACCCCGUUCAGCUCCGGCCGGCGGCCAAGCUUGCACCUCCCACGGCCGCACGUGGUCAGCACGAACUGCCACGGCUUGCACUUCUUCUCUCGCUCUGCUUGCACAGUGCAGCUUCAGCUUUUUGCGGCGACUUGGACUUGGCAUGCUGA
rnacentral:rRNA from 1 species